rnacentral:rRNA from 1 species
UGGGGAAUUUUCCGCAAUGGGCGAAAGCCUGACGGAGCAAUGCCGCGUGGAGGUGGAAGGCCUACGGGUCGUCAACUUCUUUUCUCGGAGGAGAAACAAUGACGGUAUCUGAGGAAUAAGCAUCGGCUAACUCUGUGCCUG